rnacentral:lncRNA from 10 species
AAAGUCAACCAUGCAGAUGUCUCUGGGUAUGUGGGGGAGUGACUGGUCUCACCUUGACUUUAUUCUGCACCUGGGCAGGUGGGUUUGUAAUUGACACGACCAGUGUGCAACUGAACAGACUUUAGUUUUAGGAGCUGGACUUAGACUGCAGUCCUAAAGUUUCAAUUGGCCUGUCCUCAUUCAUGAGAGGCCAGCAGAGAAUUCACGCAGGGAUCAUCUGUGUGGGCAGCUUUUCCAGAUGCCUGAGGCCUUUCCCAUUCUCUUUGGGUCUGGCUGAUACAUGAUGUUAGUGACAGUCAAUUCAUUUGGAAGAGGGAGUGCAAUGACUUUCCCUUUUGCAUAAGAAGUUUUGGGGGUACUGAGAUUUUUAGUUUCCUUUACAAGACCUUCCCGCAAAUAAGUACAAGAGGACCCAGAGUGUGGGGUGUCUGGCUGUCUGAGCAGUUGGGCCACUGACGCUGAGGACAAUGUGAGAAAGCCUGUCCUGGUGGAAGGGAGAGCAAAGGUGGAGAGAAAGGAAGCUCCAUGUUAGUUUUUGAAACACACCACAGCUGAAGGUCAGUCCCCAAAGCUGGUUAUGGUUGAAAGGGAGGAAAAGCUGCUCCCACGUGGCUCUGGCUGAGGCUUCCGAGACUCUGCAGGUGGGGGCCGUCUGUCUUCCCCAGGUGGGAGCUACUUCUUUUUAGAAGCAGGCUCCACGGCGGUUUUCAGGUGUGGCCUUGCCCAGCGUCCCGAUGUUUUGCUUCCUGCCUGGCCUCGGCGCUCUUUGAUGACCUCCUCUUGCCACACACUGUGGUCUCCAUAGGCUGCCCACUGCUGAUCCGAGGCUGGUGGCCCCCAGCACACGUGGGUUUCUGAGGAACACGCUGAGACUCUCGGGCCAUGCCGUGACACAGGGGAGACAGCGUCUGCUCUUUUUCCAUUUUUGUUCGUUUUCAGUGCUCUGACCCUCAGGAAGCCCACUUAAGCAUCCCAGAAUCCAGACGGCCGUGAACAAAGCUGCUGUGGUUUGGGGCUGCAAAACUGGCCCACAGCCCACCUGGAUAACUGAAUCGAACAUGCCUCAGCCGCCCUCACCACAGGCACCAUCCCCCUCACAGAAGUUUGAUGUCUGAUCAUUCAGCACUGGCUGAGCCUCAGAGCUAAAAUGGAAAAUGCAUUUUAUGAGCAGAUAACACAUUUUUGGAAUGGCUACUUUAAACAUUGUGGAUACAGAUUCACAGAGACUAUUUUUAGAUGAAUUAUUUCUUCUAUUUACCAUACUGAUUUGCUGGAAGAAAGAAAAACAAUAUUUUAAAAAGGGAAAACAUUCUUUAAAAGCAGUGACUCUAAAUUUCCCCUGAAGAGCAAAAUGCUGUCUGUGUCUCACUCAAUGUGGUGGCUGCUACAGGAGGAUCUUCCCAGGCCUUCUCAGGGAAUUCCCAUCAGGAUCACAGGAAUGGUACCUGGCAGACACAACCCAGUCUGCACCUUCCAUGGGCCACAGCUGAUGGUACGAGGAGAGGUGUGACAUCUGCCUGACCUCAGUUGUCUCUCUCACAACUCAAGUGGAGCCUGAGGAAUAACAAGAGCUCAUUAAAUAUCUGUUGCAUGAAUGAGUGAAUAAAUGAAGGGAGGACUUUUAUGAAAACACUUCUUUACAUCUGGAAAUGUUACCCCCACGUUUUCUGGCAUCUGAUGUUGCUGCAAAUGUGAAGCCAAGGAGACCCUCCAGGAUGCCCAAGCCUGGGAGAAAUCCUGAUGACUGGGGGUUGGAAAAGAAGCAUGACACAUAAGAAAUGUUAGUUCUCUAUUCUUAUCAUUGAUUAUCAGAGUAGAUUAACCAUAAAACUAACAAUGCUGAAACUUGAGGACCUUCCCCAGAACUGCUGGGCCUCCAGCAGCAUGAUGCAUAGGUUUUUGUGAAAUUUUCAAAAGAUUUUUAACUGCAAUCAGCAAAAACGAUUGUCUCUCUCAGUCCAACUUCCCAGCAGUCAAAUUUCCCACAGUGGCAAAUGAUGUCAGAAUUGCUACAGCAUCUUUUGAGUCUGUCUAAGGGGAAGUAGAGCCAUGGGUGCAUUUGGUUCAGAGUUAGUGGAGUACGUGUAUAUGGUCAUAGUCACUUCUGUGUUCUGAUAGUGAAAUGGUUUUGAAAACUACUCCAAUAACCCACUCUGCUGACUUACCCAGCAUCUUGGUGUUGCAGGAAAUCAGGGACCCCGAAUGGAGGGACUGGCUGGAGCCGCGGCAGAGGAACAUAAAUUGUGAAGAUUUCAUUUUAAUAUGGACAUUUAUCAGUUCCCAAAUAAUACUUUUAUAAUUUCUUAUGCCUGUCUUUACUUCAGUCUAUUAAUCCUGUUAUCUUUGUAAGCUGAGGAUGUAGGUCACCUCAGGACCACUGUGAUAAUUGUGUUACCUGUACAAAUUGAUUAUAAAACAUGUGUGUUUGAACAAUAUGAAAUCAGUGCACCUUGAAAAAGAACAGAAUAACAGCGAUUUUUAGGGAACAGAGGAAGACAACCAUAAGGUCUGACUGCCUGCGGGGUUGGGCAAAAAUAGCCAUAUUUUUCUCCUUGCAGAGAGCCCAUAAAUGGAUGUGCAAGCAGGAGAGAUAUUGCUAAAUUCUUUUCCUAACAAGGAAUAUUAAUAUUAAUACCCUGGGAAAGGAAUGCAUUCCUGUGGGGAGGUCUAUAAAUGGCUGCUCUGGGAAAUAUCUGUCUUGUGCAGUUGAGAUAAGGACUGAGAUAUGCCCUGGUCUCCUGCAGAACCCUCAGGCUUACUAGGGUGGGGAAAAACUCAGCCCUAGUAAAUUUGUGGUCAGACUGGUUCUCUGCUCUCGAAACCUGUUUUCUGUUGUUUAAGAUGUUUAUCAAGACAAUAUGUGCACCGCUGAACAUAGACCCUUAUCAGUGGUUCUGCUUUUGCCCUUUCCCUUGUGAUCUUUGUUGGACCCUUAUCAGUAGUUCUGCUUUUGCCCUUUGCCUUACGAUCUUUGUUGGAUCCUUAUCAGUAAUUCUGCUUUUGCCCUUUGUCCUGUUCCCUCAGAAGCAUGUGAUCUUCGUUAGACCCUUAUUAGUAGUUCUGCUUUUUGCCCUUUGAAGCAUGUGAUCUUUGUACCUACUCCCUGUUCUUACACCCCUCCCCUUUUGAAACCCUUCAUAAAAACUUGCUGGUUUGAGGCUCAGGUGGGCAUCAUGGUCCUACCGAUAUGUGAUGUCACCCCCGGCAGCCCAGCUGUAAAAUUCCUCUCUUUGUACGGUCUGUCUUUAUUUCUCAGCCCACUAACACUUAUGGAAAAUAGAAAGAACCUAUGUUGAAAUAUUGGGGGCUGGGUUCCCCCAAUAUCAUGGUACAAAGUUGCAUGACCUUAUGGUCAUUUAUGAAGAAAUAAGAAAACAAAAUGUAGCCAAAAACUGAAGUUAAAGUAUUAUAAAGGUGUGCUGUGCACUUUAACAAUUUUUAAAAAUGCUAUUUUCUUGAAUUUUGUGAUGCC